GACGAACGCUGGCGGCGUGCUUAACACAUGCAAGUCGAACGGAAAGGCCUCUUUCGGGGGGUACUCGAGUGGCGAACGGGUGAGUAACACGUGUGUCACCUGCCCUUGACUUUGGGAUAACUUCAGUAAACUGGGGCUAAUACCGGAUAGGAGCUCCUGCUGCAUGGUGGGGGUUGGAAAGUUUCGGCGGUUGGGGAUGGACUCGCGGCGUAUCAGCUUGUUGGUGGGGUAGUGGCUUACCAAGGCUUUGACGGGUAGCCGGCCUGAGGGGGUGACCGGCCACAUUGGGACUGAGAUACGGCCCAGACGCCUACGGGAGGCAGCAGUGGGGAAUAUUGCACAAUGGGUGGAAGCCUGAUGCAGCAACGCCGUGUGCGGGAUGACGGCCUUCGGGUUGUAAACCGCUUUCGCUCAUGACGAAGCUUUGUGUGACGGUAGUGGGUAAAGAAGCACCGGCUAACUACGUG
rnacentral:rRNA from 1 species